GAAAGAACUUUUCCCAUAGUAAAAGAUUUUAUUCUUAAAUAGUUAAAUAUUUCCUUCGAAGGAAGGUUAUAUUUAGACUGAAAUAUGGGGAAUGGCAAUAUUUUAUUAUUAUUUAAAAGAUCCGCUAUUCUUACUAUUCCACAGUGUACCCAUUCUUGGAUAUUUAUAUCCUUUAUGUAAUAUUUUAAGCUUAUUAAUGGGGCAUUUGAUGAAAUAUAUUUUGUACCAUAUUUUUUUUUCAAGUACUUAACAAUGUAAAUCAUUGUAUUAUUCAUCGGAUUACUAGAUCUUAUGUUUUUUAGAGAUUCACUGUCGCACCACCAGAGAAAUAAAGGUUCUAUAUCGCAGAGAUCUGCUUUUUCAAUGUCCAACCAAUUUGGUCUAGACUUUGUAAAGUUAUCACACUUAAUUAAAUGUGCAACCAUAUUAUUCAUAUAUAAUUUCUGUAUGUCUGGGAAACAAAUCCCCCCUUCUUUCCAGUCUCUCUGUAAAAUUUCCAAAGACACUCUAGG